AACGAACGCUGGCGGCAUGCCUAACACAUGCAAGUCGAACGAGACCUUCGGGUCUAGUGGCGCACGGGUGCGUAACGCGUGGGAACCUGCCCUUAGGUUCGGGAUAACUCCCCGAAAGGGGUGCUAAUACCGGAUAAUGUCUUCGGACCAAAGAUUUAUCGCCUUUGGAUGGGCCCGCGUUGGAUUAGCUAGUUGGUAGGGUAAAAGCCUACCAAGGCGACGAUCCAUAGCUGGUCUGAGAGGAUGAUCAGCCACACUGGGACUGAGACACGGCCCAGACUCCUACGGGAGGCAGCAGUGGGGAAUAUGGGACAAUGGGCGAAAGCCUGAUCCAGCAAUGCCGCGUGAGUGAUGAAGGCCUUAGGGUUGUAAAGCUCUUUUACCCGGGAUGAUAAUGACAGUACCGGGAGAAUAAGCUCCGGCUAACUCCGU
rnacentral:rRNA from 1 species